rnacentral:rRNA from 1 species
UACGUAGGGUGCGAGCGUUAAUCGGAAUUACUGGGCGUAAAGCGUGCGCAGGCGGUUGUGCAAGACAGAUGUGAAAUCCCCCGGGCUUAACCUGGGAACUGCAUUUGUGACUGCAUAGCUAGAGUACGGUAGAGGGGGGAUGGAAUUCCGCGUGUAGCAGUGAAAAUGCGUAGAUAUGCGGAGGAACACCGAUGGCGAAGGCAGUCCCCCUGGACCUGUACUGACGCUCAUGCA